rnacentral:pre_miRNA from 1 species
GGUGAUUGUGCACUGGUGAGGUACGACCGCGACUUCAUCAGGCCUCAGUCAUCCAC